GCCCAAGAGAUCGGGAUAACACCUGGAAACAAGAUGCUAAUACCGGAUAACAACAGAUGAUGCCUAUCAACUGUUUAAAGAUGGUUCUGCUAUCACUCUUGGAUGGACCUGCGGUGCAUUAGCUAGUUGGUAGGGUAACGGCCUACCAAGGCGAUGAUGCAUAGCCGAGUUGAGAGACUGAUCGGCCACAUUGGGACUGAGACACGGCCCAAACUCCUACGGGAGGCAGCAGGC
rnacentral:rRNA from 1 species